rnacentral:rRNA from 1 species
UACGAAGGGGGCUAGCGUUGCUCGGAAUCACUGGGCGUAAAGCGCACGUAGGCGGGUCUUUAAGUCAGGGGUGAAAUCCUGGAGCUCAACUCCAGAACUGCCUUUGAUACUGAGGAUCUCGAGUCCGGGAGAGGUGAGUGGAACUCCGAGUGUAGAGGUGAAAUUCGUAGAUAUUCGGAAGAACACCAGUGGCGAAGGUGGCUCACUGGCCCGAUACUGACGCUGAGGCACGAAAGCGUGGGGAGCAAACAGG